GCUGAAAAUAUCAAAAUUAACGGUGCUGAGAAAAAAAUUGAAAACUUAACAAAACUUCAGCUGAUAGGAUCAAAUAUCAAUCUCUGAAUCGUACAUUUAUUAAUUAUGGAUUUUUUAAACAGUCGAGUGGAAUUACCAAGGUUAUUUUGACCGACAUUUGCCAGCAAAACGUUCCUUUUAAGAUUGCAAUUUUUUUAAAGACAAACGUCUUUAGUUUUGUUAAGAAUAUUUUAUGCUCUCUCUGGAUGAUGGCUCAUAUCCAUUUACGAUCGCGAAAAAGUUCCAAGAAAUGUUGCUCGGAACUGCGCGCGGAACAAAACAGAAACCAAAAGAGGUUCAAAAGAAGAGCAAUCAAAGACCCAAGUUUCUCAAGAAGUCAAUCAAGUAAAAACCAAAAUUUUUUUAACUAAAGUAUGACGAUGACUCUCGAACACGGACUUGUCGGCUAUCAGCACGAUGUCGAAAAAGAAUCGAAGAAGGAGAAGGGUCGAGAUGGACUCAGCCUAGCAUCGUUUCGAGGAAAAAGUAAACGAAAGUUUUCAUUUAAUUUCGGCCAAAAGCUAAAGCGUGAUGGGAUGACGAACUAGUUAUGCAACUCCGAGGCCCUGAAAAGUUUAACAACGACAACAACAAAAGAAAUGCGUAGAAAGGGAUUUCAAAUAAAGCGACCAAAUGCAGAAAUCGAUCAGACGAAGUAAAGCACAGCGAAAAGGGCAAACAUGAUUGUGGUACACAAGAAAAUGACUGAAUGUCGAAAAAGAUUAGAAGAAAUGGAAGAAAUCAGGUAUAUUAAUUAUGGGACAACGGCACUAGCCGUCUGCACAAGGUCUGACUGUAAGAACCAUUCAACAAAGCAUCUUGUUUUAACUGCGGAAAGUAAAAAUGUCUUCCAGAGGGCACCCUAUACGACAACCACAACAGGACCCACUAAAUGCUGGACAUAAUUUCAACCGUGAACUUAGACAUGGCGUUUCUACGAGUGGACAGCCUGUACAACAACCACAGCACGACCCAUUGAACGCUGAAUAUCAUUUUAUCGGUAAUCAUAGAAAUUUCCACGUUUCUACGAGUGGACAGCCUGUACAACAACCACAGCAGGACCCAUUGAAUGCUGAAGCUAUUAACAGAGACGUCGACAGAAGUAUCAGAAGAAUGUCAGAAAGAAUACCCCCAGAAUUAUAGAACCUCCACCGCGCACAAUAAGCCUGAAGCGAGAUGACGUUUUACCCCCGUCUCUAGACCAUAAUCCUUUUCACAUUGCUUUUGUUCUUUAAUUAUGACUAUUGUUCCUGUAUUCUCUAAGGAAUCAAAAAUUUUAAUAUGAAAGAAUUUAAAAAACUAUUAUGGUAUAGAGUCGGGGGUAAAAUGUCAUCUCGCUUCAGGCUUAUUGUGAUAAACAUAAAGUGAGUAGCUUUUCUACAACAAUAGCUUAUUCAAUAAUGAAGGCAAAUAAUAAAUAAUAGUGACAAGGAGAAAAUGAUUUUAAUUAAUAUUUCAAUUACGGUUUGGAUUAAAUGCAAGAUAAGUCAAUUUUGGAUAGAGGUGAAUUAGAAUUCAGUACCGAGGAUGUUACCAAGAAAAAGCAACUUUAAUUGAGAAUAGACCUUUUUAACUUCGUAUGCAAAUUGACCAUUUCAGAUCAUGACAUUUCCUUGAGAAUUAUUCUCUAAGUGGCAUCACAUGGUCUGAUAUUUGCAAAACAAACGAAGCUAAAUAGGUCUUGCAUGGUGCUCAAGUGUGCCAGGGUGCAUUUAUUUUUUAAAUACCUUUCACACUUUUUUUUAAGUAAACGUCCAGCUAAAUUUCAAACACUAUCAUCUUAAAAUUGAUAGAGACGACUCAUUUUUUCAAAAAAAGUUCACAUAGUUGGCAUUUGCAAAUGAUGAAAACUCAUAACAAGACAUGCGGAUAAUAUGGGGCGUGGCAAAACGAGCCCCCUCAAUCAUUUUAUUCCUGCUACGGGCCUGUUAUCUAAGUAAUAAUCUUAUUAUCUUACGAUUUAUUCUUCAUUCUCUGAUGCUGGUUUGUUAUCUGAUUUUCUCAUUGCAGGUUAGAAUGAAACUAUGGCGUAUCCAGGAUUUGAAUUAGAAUUAUUAAACAUUACUUAAAUAAACGAGCAGGAGUGUUUUAUCGGGUAUAAAACACGAGGCGUAGCCGAGUGGUUUUAGACCCGAUAAAACACGAUCUGCGAGUUUAUUAAACGGCUUAAAAAACUCC